GUGCUCACUUAGGCAGUACAUAUACUAAAACUGUUACAAUACAGAGAUAUUAAAUGUCCCCUACAGAGGAAUGACAUGAAAAUUCAAGAAGCAUUCCACAGGGCU
rnacentral:snRNA from 1 species